rnacentral:rRNA from 1 species
GACGAACGCUGGCGGCGUGCUUAACACAUGCAAGUCGAACGAUGAAGCUAGAGCUUGCUCUGGUGGAUUAGUGGCGAACGGGUGAGUAACACGUGAGUAACCUGCCCCGAACUCUGGGAUAACUGCUGGAAACGGUAGCUAAUACCGGAUAUGACCAAUGAAGGCAUCUUCUGUUGGUGGAAAGAAUUUCGGUUCGGGUUGGACUCGCGGCCUUACAGCUUGUUGGUGAGGUAACGGCUCACCAAGGCGACGACGGGUAGCCGGCCUGAGAGGGUGAUCGGCCACACUGGGACUGAGACACGGCCCAGACUCCUACGGGAGGCAGCAGUGGGGAAUAUUGCACAAUGGGCGCAAGCCUGAUGCAGCAACGCCGCGUGAGGGACGACGGCCUUCGGGUUGUAAACCUCUUUUAGUAGGGAAGAAGCGAAAGUGACGGUACCUGCAGAAAAAGCACCGGCUAACUACGUGCCAGCAGCCGCAGUAA